rnacentral:rRNA from 1 species
UACGUAGGGGGCGAGCGUUGUCCGGAAUCAUUGGGCGUAAAGCGCGUGUAGGCGGCCCGGUAAGUCCGCUGUGAAAGUCCAGGGCUCAACCUUUGAACGCCGAUGGAUACUGCCGGGCUAGAGUCCGGAAGAGGCGAGUGGAAUUCCUGGUGUAGCGGUGGAAUGCGCAGAUAUCAGGAGGAACACCAAUAGCGAAGGCAGCUCGCUGGGACGGUACUGACGCUGAGGCGCGAAAGCGUGGGGAGCGAACAGG